rnacentral:rRNA from 1 species
AUGAACGCUGGCGGCGUGCCUAAUACCUGCAAGUCGAGCGAACGGACGAGAAGCUUGCUUCUCUGAUGUUAGCGGCGGACGGGUGAGUAACACGUGGAUAACCUACCUAUAAGACUGGGAUAACUUCGGGAAACCGGAGCUAAUACCGGAUAAUAUUUUGAACCGCAUGGUUCAAAAGUGAAAGACGGUCUUGCUGUCACUUAUAGAUGGAUCCGCGCUGCAUUAGCUAGUUGGUAAGGUAACGGCUUACCAGGGCAACGAUGCAUAGCCGACCUGAGAGGGUGAUCGGCCACACUGGAACUGAGACACGGUCCAGACUCCUACGGGAGGCAGCAGUAGGGAAUCUUCCGCAAUGGGCGAAAGCCUGACGGAGCAACGCCGCGUGAGUGAUGAAGGUCUUCGGAUCGUAAAACUCUGUUAUUAGGGAAGAACAUAUGUGUAAGUAACUGUGCACAUCUUGACGGUACCUAAUCAGAAAGCCACGGCUAACUACGUG